rnacentral:rRNA from 1 species
AUGUGGCUCGACAACUACUCGGUUACGCAUUAUCGUCCACAUAAGGUGGUGCACUCGGACGUCAAAGUGCGCUACACGGUUGCAUGUGCAUGUGAAGAUGAAAUAUGUCCAUGGAUUGUGUGUGCAAGACCAUGGAAAGGAGGUCCCACUUGGCACGUAGUGAGUUGUGUGCCAACUCACAUGUGCCAAGGCAAAAGGGUGGAUGGCAAGAUUGUGUCCCAAAACCACAAACAACUCACGUCCGAGUUCAUCGCUUACAGGCUCUCCAACUCAAUAUCCACACUUCCAACAAUGAGCGUCCAACAUGUCAUUGACCUUGUGAAAGCCAUCUUUCACUACAAGGUGAAGUACGGCAAGACAUGGAAGGCGAAGCAAGCCGCAUUUAAGAUGUUGUAUGGUACUUGGGAGGAAGCAUACAACCGAAUCCCUAGGUUGUUGUUAGCCAUGGCCGCGACAAACCCGGGCAUGGUUCAUGUGGUCGAGCCUCAUGGGCACCAAACAACGGUUCAUGAAGGAAGGAAAGUCAGAGUAUUUGGCCGUGCUUUUUGGGUGUUCGAGCAAUGUGUGAGGGCUUUCGAACAUUGUAGGCCGGUCAUCGCAAUUGAUGGCACGUUCUUGACCAGACAAUACAAGGGCACCUUGUUGGUUGCGAUAGCAAGUGAUGCCAAUAACCGGGUGUUGCCAUUGGCAUUUGCUUUGGUUGAGGUGGAAAACAAUGACAACUGGGAGUGGUUUCUGCAUCUUUUGAGGACGAAGGUGUUACCCGCUCAAAGGGAAAUUUGUGUCAUAUCGGAUCGGCAUCAAGGAAUUCUUAACGUGGUGGAGAUUGACAUUCCCGGGCAUGCUCCGUUGCACCAUCGAUGGUGCAUGAGGAACUUUUGUUCGAACUUCUGUAGGGCAUGUGGCCUUAAGGAGUUGGCCUAUGAUCUUCAAGAUUGUUGUCUUGCUUUCUCCGAGAAGCGCUUCGCCACUUUGUACCACAAAUUGCUCGCACACAAAAAACUUGAUGCCGGGGGUCAAGACUUCCUCAAUAGGCACAUUCAAUACCGGAACAAGUGGGCACGUGCCUUUGAUGAAGAUGGCCGGAGAUACGGUCAAAUGACAAGCAAUAUGGCGGAAUGCUUCAAUAGGGUGCUCAAAGGUGCACGUGGAUUACCCGUGACGGCAAUAGUUCAAUACAAAUUUGACAAGAUGAAUGCGUACUUUGUAAAGUACUCGAUGGAAACCGAUGCACAAAUAGCGGGUGAGAACCCACGGAAGUACAAGUACAACUUCCCACCCAAAGUUGAUGAAUGGUUGGUAUUUCAAUCACGGAAGGCGGACUCAGAAGAAGCUAUAUUAUAUGACAAUGAAGAGUGGAAGUACGAAGUGAAAGAGCGAGGAGGAACCACAAACGAUGGCCGGCAACAUGGAGGUCGGGCUUUCAAGGUGUCGUUAACACAAUGUGAUUGCACUUGCGGGAGGCCGUUGUUGCUUCAUCUCCCAUGCUCACACUUGUAUACCGCCGGUCGCGUUAGGAAUGUGGACAUCAAUCACCCACGCACCAUGAGGGAGUCCGAGUUCUCAAUCAUGACGGUCAAGAAAACAUGGGCUCCCCGCUUUCACCCGUACUUUGACCAAUCACAAUGGCCGGAGUAUCAUGGAGUUCAACUAUGGCCGGAUUCGGAGUUGAAGGUUGUUAAACGGGGUAGACGUCAGAAAAAGCGUCUUAGAGGAGACAUGGACAGAUGGGGCCAUGGUGGCCGCCGCGAAGCGGGCAACGACCAAUUCCAAGAGCCUCGUGAGAGCUCCCGUUGUGGGGAGUGCAAAGGUCAUGGCCACAACAAAAGAAAAUGUACGAAACCAAGGAAAAGGUCCAAGAAAAAUGAUGCAAGCACAAGCCAACAAGGAGCUACACAAGGGAGCCAACCAAGUGGUAGCCAACCUAGUGGUAGCCAACAAGUGCCAAGACAACCAAGUGGUAGCCAACCUAGUGGUAGCCAACAAGUGCCAUGCCAACCAAGUGUUAGCCAAAGAGGAUCUAGGCAACAAAGAGGUCGUCAACUAGGACUUACAAGAGGCCGUGGUGGUGGUAGUGGCCGUGGUGGUGCUGGUAGAGCUCGUGGUGGUGGUGGUCUAGUCCGUGGUGGUGGCAAUGGCCGUGGUGAUGGUCUUGGCCUUGGUGGUGGAUUUGGCCGUGGUGAUGGAGAAGGGCAAGUUCGUUAUAGAGGAAUGUUUGGAUACCUAGAUGGACCGUUUCCGUAUGUUCCUCACUAA